GCGUACCCGAAUCCGAUACUAAGUUGCACCGCUGGUGUGCCUCGAGAUAAGCAACUCGAGGCCGAGAGCUCCUCGGCGGGACUCUCUCUUUCUUCUCUUCAUUGCAGCGCCGGCGAUCUCUCGAAGACCAUGGCGGAUCCCUACUGGAGAUACCCUGCAGUUGAUGGCCGAGAUGCAAAUGGUGCCUAUCCUAGUCAUUUUCCGCCAGAUGCUUCAAGCUUUCCUGGCCAUCAUUUAUUGGGCAGUAAUAAUCCACCAGCAACACCAUCAGAAUUCUCACAUAGUAAUGUAUUGCCACUUCGAGCAGGAGGAUAUACUGUGAAUGAUCUUGCAGGAAUUUCUACCCCUGUUGCACCAGGUAUCAGUGGAUUGGCUUCCGGAGCUAAUAUGAGAGGCUUUUCUCCUUUAGAAGGUCAGACUUUGGUCAGAAGAGAUGUUUCAUUGGGAAGAGAACCUGAUAUCACAGAAAUCGAACGACCCAAUCCUCCGCGGAUACCUGAUGGUCUUUCAGAUAAUGAGUCCAAUGUUUUAUAUGUAGAUUGUCUUCCAACUGACUGCACAAGAAGAGAAGUUUCUCAUCUUUUUCGUCCAUUCAUUGGCUUCAAGGAAAUCAGGGUUGUCCACAAGGAGCCUAGACGGGCUGCAGAAAAGGCACAAGUGCUGUGCUUUGUUGAGUUUAAGGAUACCAGGUGUGCUUUGACUGCUAUGGAAGCUCUUCAAGGAUACAAAUUCGAUGACAAGAAGCCGGAUUCACCAACCCUAAAGAUUCAGUUUGCAAAGUUUCCUUUUCAUCCACCUGGUUACGAUGAUCGAAGACGUGGUAGUGUGCACUAAACCCUUUAAACAUCCCCAAAUGCAAGUUCAACAACUCAACAGUCAUGAAGAGCUUAAAUUCACACACAUUAUGCACAAUAACUACUUUGCGUGUGCCGGAGGAACACGGGACCAUCAUUGAAAGGAGCAGGACACGCGGCAUAGUUUUAUUGGACUGACGGGGUGGAAAAAGGAUGGUAGGUACGGGUUGCGGUCAGUAUUGACGGUGCUCUUAGGGGCCGUCAAAUCGUGAGUUGGACGCGUGGCGAAGAUCCCGUGACGGAUGCGACAGGCCUGUCGGGUUAGGGACGCGUGUCCAAACGGUGGCCCGGACACCCCCUUGACGCUGUUUACUCUCCGUCAACUCUCCAUCGACCGUUAGCGAUAUUUAUUAUUUAGUCCUCGUGUAAUUUAUGCACCCU